GGUUAAGCGACUAAGCGUACACGGUGGAUGCCCUGGCAGUCAGAGGCGAUGAAGGACGUGCUAAUCUGCGAUAAGCGUCGGUAAGGUGAUAUGAACCGUUAUAACCGGCGAUUUCCGAAUGGGGAAACCCAGUGUGAUUCGUCACACUAUCAUUAACUGAAUCCAUAGGUUAAUGAGGCGAACCGGGGGAACUGAAACAUCUAAGUACCCCGAGGAAAAGAAAUCAACCGAGAUUCCCCCAGUAGCGGCGAGCGAACGGGGAGCAGCCCAGAGCCUGAAUCAGUGUGUGUGUUAGUGGAAGCGUCUGGAAAGGCGUGCGAUACAGGGUGACAGCCCCGUACACAAAAAUGCACAUAUUGUGAGCUCGAUGAGUAGGGCGGGACACGUGGUAUCCUGUCUGAAUAUGGGGGGACCAUCCUCCAAGGCUAAAUACUCCUGACUGACCGAUAGUGAACCAGUACCGUGAGGGAAAGGCGAAAAGAACCCCGGCGAGGGGAGUGAAAAAGAACCUGAAACCGUGUACGUACAAGCAGUGGGAGCACGCUUAGGCGUGUGACUGCGUACCUUUUGUAUAAUGGGUCAGCGACUUAUAUUCUGUAGCAAGGUUAACCGAAUAGGGGAGCCGAAGGGAAACCGAGUCUUAACUGGGCGUUAAGUUGCAGGGUAUAGACCCGAAACCCGGUGAUCUAGCCAUGGGCAGGUUGAAGGUUGGGUAACACUAACUGGAGGACCGAACCGACUAAUGUUGAAAAAUUAGCGGAUGACUUGUGGCUGGGGGUGAAAGGCCAAUCAAACCGGGAGAUAGCUGGUUCUCCCCGAAAGCUAUUUAGGUAGCGCCUCGUGAAUUCAUCUCCGGGGGUAGAGCACUGUUUCGGCAAGGGGGUCAUCCCGACUUACCAACCCGAUGCAAACUGCGAAUACCGGAGAAUGUUAUCACGGGAGACACACGGCGGGUGCUAACGUCCGUCGUGAAGAGGGAAACAACCCAGACCGCCAGCUAAGGUCCCAAAGUCAUGGUUAAGUGGGAAACGAUGUGGGAAGGCCCAGACAGCCAGGAUGUUGGCUUAGAAGCAGCCAUCAUUUAAAGAAAGCGUAAUAGCUCACUGGUCGAGUCGGCCUGCGCGGAAGAUGUAACGGGGCUAAACCAUGCACCGAAGCUGCGGCAGCGACGCUGAUGCGUUGUUGGGUAGGGGAGCGUUCUGUAAGCCUGCGAAGGUGUGCUGUGAGGCAUGCUGGAGGUAUCAGAAGUGCGAAUGCUGACAUAAGUAACGAUAAAGCGGGUGAAAAGCCCGCUCGCCGGAAGACCAAGGGUUCCUGUCCAACGUUAAUCGGGGCAGGGUGAGUCGACCCCUAAGGCGAGGCCGAAAGGCGUAGUCGAUGGGAAACAGGUUAAUAUUCCUGUACUUGGUGUUACUGCGAAGGGGGGACGGAGAAGGCUAUGUUGGCCGGGCGACGGUUGUCCCGGUUUAAGCGUGUAGGCUGGUUUUCCAGGCAAAUCCGGAAAAUCAAGGCUGAGGCGUGAUGACGAGGCACUACGGUGCUGAAGCAACAAAUGCCCUGCUUCCAGGAAAAGCCUCUAAGCAUCAGGUAACAUCAAAUCGUACCCCAAACCGACACAGGUGGUCAGGUAGAGAAUACCAAGGCGCUUGAGAGAACUCGGGUGAAGGAACUAGGCAAAAUGGUGCCGUAACUUCGGGAGAAGG
rnacentral:rRNA from 1 species